rnacentral:misc_RNA from 1 species
CCCAAAUUUAUCAACUCUGGUAACCAAGCGUGAGCUCAGAAGCAGCCACCAUGGCUUCUUCUAUAGCAGCUACUCAGCUUUUCCCUCUGUCACACACUCUUUGCUUUUCCAAACCUAAUCAAAACCAACACCGUUUUAUACUCCCAUCAAAAUGCACUGAUCCCAAUCUUUGCUCUUCGUUUAACUUCAAGAACAGAGCUCUAUUCUGUACAUCCAAUUUCUUCAGGCCUUCACAAGCUGUUCUUAACUCUUCCACUCCCCUAAUAAGCCAAGAAGAACCCAACACGAA